AGGGAACUGGAGGUCGAUGUUCGAUCUCUGCCGGCCUUCAUGUAUUUGUUCAGGGAACUGCAGGUCGACCCCUUCUCGCCUUCCUUUCUCUAUUCCUGUUUCUUUGCAGUCCUAGGCUUGUAUUUGUGCGCCGGUGUAUCUUUGUUGUUUUCUUUGUCUGGGGAUGUUGUUGGGUUCAGUUGGUGUGCAGGUUAGGCACCGCUAGAUUCAAUUGGUAUGCAGGUUAGCCAAUGAUUGUAUCUCUUUGUUGUCUUCUUUCUGGUAGAGGCAAAAUGUAUUAUCCCUGGCUGGAUUUUUGUGGCCUCCUUUCCUUGUUUGUUCUUUUGUGGGUUACAGGUGUGUCCUUUUGUUUCUUGUGUAGAUCCUACUAGGGGUGAGUUUUUUUGUUUGUUUGCACAUGGAUGUUUGCUGCCCUUGUUCUUUGCUCUGAAUUGACAUGGCUGACUGAAUUAUUAGUGGCUACGAUUAUAGAUGUGCUGCUAGGAAGUUUUGAUUAAUAAACUGUGUGGGCUUUAGUUUAAUCUGGUCCAAGAUAUUGCUUUAGUGAUACUGCUGUUUGUGUUGAACAGGGUAUGGUAACUUAAUUUAGCCAUAUACUGAUUUAGGCUUGUGUUACUUUUCCUUGAUUUAGCUCUGCUCAUUUUUUGUAGUUGUAUGUUUGUUUUUCUUAUCUUUUCUUUUGUUUUCUUUUGACUUCUACAUCCAUGGAAUUAAUUUUGUAUGCUCAAAUGGGUGUAUAUAUUAUGGCAUAGAGUUACGGUGCAGCUGAUAUAUUAUUCUUAGCCUUUUCAUUUGUUACAUGUGGUUUGUUAUGUAAUCUAUUCACCGUGUGUUCCUAUUUAUCAGCUAAUACCAGAACACUUUAUCUUGCUUAAUCUGCAGGGUGAUGAUUGCAACAGGUAAAUGGCUUCUUAUGGUUCUCAGCAGCAAGAUGACCUGCCACAACCUGGAGGUGGAUAAAUUGGUUAAAAAACAUACACCCCUUUGGUUAGUUCCUCCGUUAUCCGGAGGAGGGAGGCAUGCUGAACAAGCAUGGUGGAUAGAUAGGUGUAAGUAAUCUUUAACGCGGUCCUAAUUUUGCUGGUUAUUUCAUUGUAAGGGUGUUAAAUUUUCUUGGAAUUACUUGGUGAUUUUCCUGUACUCACCUCUGUAGCUAUUCUCGCUGUCAUUUUUUUUGCCUUCGUAUCCAUGGUAACUUGUCCGAUGUUGGGGUUUCGAUCGGUUGCAAUUUUCUUCUUUGUCAAAGAUGAGUUAUUGUUGGAUAAUGUGCAUGUCAUGGUGGACAUCAAUUAUAAACUGCAAAUGAGAGCUACUAAUCUUAUUAUAGGUGUGGUACAGGUUAUAGCUCUUCAGUGCUUGCUGCACCUAUAUAUUUUUAGAGCAGAGGAGAUGGUACACCAUAUAGUUUGGUCGUGAGGUUUAUUUUUUACCACUGGCUAUGUAGGUUUUGUGCUAGAAUGCAUUCCGUACAAAACUAUUAGCUAUGCUUAAUUGUGUUUAGAAACUUCCUUGCAGCUCGUGCAUUGCAUAAUUUUAUAAUUAGCAAGAAUUUUACCUCCCUGGACUGAAUAAUUAGCUUCAAUUGUCUUGGAUAUGUUUCAGUCAUAUGAUAGUUAGGAGAUGCUUUGCCGCUUCAGUUGUGCCCCUUUUAAUUGGUAUUUUUGGAUGAAUAAAUGGAUAUUCUGAGGGAUGAAGGCUAAAACAUAUUCAUUUGUAUUAGAGUUGUAGUGUAUGAAUCUGGUGAGAGAUAAGGGCUGAAAUACAUUCGGUCGUCUUGGAGUUUCAGGUUUUUUGUGCAUUUGGUUCUGGUUGUUUUGAUCUGACUAAGUGACACCUAGGUUUCAUUGAUUUCUUGGGAUUGUUCAUUAUCUUGAUCCAUGCCUGGUACUGAAUCUGAAUGUUUUCAUCUCCGGUACCAUGGCACGGCAUUGGCGGCGGCAGUAGCUUAGGGAGGAAGAUGACACUGGCAACCUGCAGUGUAAGAGGCUGCCGAUGCCGCCGUUGGUGAAGAAGAUGCUAGGUUGCGUCAUUUUUGUGGGAAUAUUGUGGUGAAUUACAUAUUUAGAUUAUUGUAUGGUCACAGAAACCUAGAGAAGGAAACUGGCUUGGUGCUCUAGAGCCAGGUGUGUGCCCAGACAGCUGAAAAGCUAAUAGAACCACUAUAAAUCAAGGGACAACAAUCUUCACUGCCUAAUUCCCUUUGUAUUUAAAUCAUAAUUAUAUCUAUCAUCUCCUAACCAUCGGCUCAUGGGGACAGGACAUGAUCCAGGAGAUGUUCGUCAUGUCGAGCCUCCUAACCAUCGGCUCCAGCCAUCGGCAGCUAGAGUUCCUCGAUGGUUCAUGUGGCCUUAACCGCCGCUGGGCUCCCUGCGCCCACGCCUCAAUUCUUCUACCUCUUCUCAGGUAUAUUUUGUGUCUCCUUUUCCUUAUUUAUUUCUCUUCCAUGGUACUAUCGAUGUCUGCUGAUAUGUGUGUCCAUAUUUUCACUGAUGUCAUGUUUGCAGUAUAUGAGGUAGCUUUCCUGUUAAAAAAUGGCAUUGCAUGUCAUGUUUGCUCUAAGCAAAUCUUCCUAUUU
rnacentral:lncRNA from 1 species